rnacentral:tRNA from 1 species
GAGGUUGUGGCUCAGAGGUAGAGCCCUUGCCUAACAAGCAUAAGGCACUGGGUUUGAUCCUCAGCACCACA